rnacentral:rRNA from 1 species
GGUGGUAAUGCCGGAUGUUCCACAUGAUCGCAUGUGAUUGUGGGAAAGAUUCUAUCGGCGUGGGAUGGGGUCGCGUCCUAUCAGCUUGUUGGUGAGGUAACGGCUCACCAAGGCUUCGACGGGUAGCCGGCCUGAGAGGGCGACCGGCCACAUUGGGACUGAGAUACGGCCCAGACUCCUACGGGAGGCAGCAGUGGGGAAUAUUGCACAAUGGGCGCAAGCCUGAUGCAGCGACGCCGCGUGAGGGAUGGAGGCCUUCGGGUUGUAAACCUCUUUUGUUUGGGAGCAAGCCUUCGGGUGAGUGUACCUUUCGAAUAAGCGCCGGCUAACUACGUGCCAGCAGCCGCGGUAAUACGUAGGGCGCAAGCGUUAUCCGGAUUUAUUGGGCGUAAAGGGCUCGUAGGCGGCUCGUCGCGUCCGGUGUGAAAGUCCAUCGCUUAACGGUGGAUCUGCGCCGGGUACGGGCGGGCUGGAGUGCGGUAGGGGAGACUGGAAUUCCCGGUGUAACGGUGGAAUGUGUAGAUAUC